GCAUAUCAAUAAGCGGAGGAAAAGAAAAUAACAAUGAUUCCUCUAGUAACUGCGAGUGAAGAGGGAAAAGCUCAAAUUUUAAAUCUGUUAGGUUUACCUAACCGAGUUGUAAUUUGAAGAAGCGUUUUCUGCGAAUUUGGUUAGUCCAAAUCCUUUGGAAUAAGGUAUCAUGGAGGGUGAGAAUCCCGUUCGGUUAACCAAAGCGCUUUACGAUACGCUUUCAAAGAGUCAAGUUGUUUGGGAUUGCAGCUUAAAAUGGGAGGUAAAUUUCUCCUAAGGCUAAAUAUUGGCGAGAGACCGAUAGCGAACAAGUACCGUGAGGGAAAGAUGAAAAGAACUUCGAAAAGAGAGUUAAACAGUACGUGAAAUUGUUGGAAGGGAAACGAUUAAAGUCAGUCGUACCUACGAGUAAUCAACCUACUCGAGUGCGAUUUUGUGGGUAUGUUAGAGUUUAAACCUUCAUGCCUACAAAUUGGUGCUCUUUGGGCGUACUUUCUCGUAUGGUAGGUUAACAUCAAUUUCGAUCGUUAUAAAAUGACUGGAGGAAUGUAGCUUCGAUCUCGGUUGAAGUGUUAUAGCCUUUGGUAGAUGUAAUGAUUGGGAUUGAGGAUUGCAACGGAUACCCUCUGGGCUAUUCGUCUGAUCUCUGGAAGUUACCUUGGUGUCGAAAGCGUGCUUACGAUAUUAAGGUUGACGGCCAAUAGGUUAGAACGUGAUUAAAUUCGUUAAGGAUGUUGACGUAAUGGCUUUAAACGAC
rnacentral:rRNA from 1 species